rnacentral:lncRNA from 1 species
GCGGCCGCGGCGGGGCGCAGCCAUGCGCUGACCCCCCAGCGCGCAACGUCGCCGGAGCGCGGGCAGCUGCCCCGGCGCGCCCUGCUGGUCCGGGGAGCCGGCGAGGCCGGGCUGGGGCGGCCGGGCGCGGGAGUACCGCGGGGAGUACCGGCUGGAGUAGCGCGGGGGCGGUGGCCCAGCGCCCCGAAGUUUGCCGCGCCCGCUCGGGCGGCCGAGGUUUGCUUUCUUGAAAAGGCUCCAGGCUUCGGCUUGGAAAAUCCAACCGCCAAGAUUGAGCCGAGCAGCUGGAGCGGCAGCGAGAGCCCUGCCGACAACAUGGAGAGGAUGAGUGACUCGGCAGACAAGCCGAUUGACAACGACGCAGAGGGGGUCUG